UCUUGAAAGGAGGCUUCCGAGCCUCUUGAAAGGAGGCUUCCGAGCCUCUUGAAAGGAGGCUUCCGAGCCUCUUGAAAGGAGGCUUCCGAGCCUCUUGAAAGGAGGCUUCCGAGCUUCUUGAAAGGAGGUUUCCGAGCCUCUUGAAAGGAGGUUUCCGAGCCUCUUGAAAGGAGGCUUCCUCUUGAAAGGAGGCUUCCAAGUCUCUUGAAAGGAGACUUCCGAGUCUCUUGAAAGGAGGCUUCCGAGCCUCUUGAAAGGAGGCUUCCGAGCCUCUUGAAAGGAGGCUUCCGAGCCUCUUGAAAGGCGGCGGGUCGUAUGGAACUGAUUAAAGCCACCUGCUGACCCUCGGUCAUCUACAUAUAGGGAUGUGUAGAGAAUCUUGUAAGCUCUCGGCUGAUCAUCGGAAACUGAGGCUUCUGCAGUCGAAGAGAACUGACAUCAGAAAUCGGUGACCCAUACCUAUACCGCAGUCAUUGUUGUCGUCGAUGUUUGAUCUGCUGGAUGAAAUGGAGAUGUUCAACGUUCACCGCCAAAGAUUCGUCCUCAUCGACUGCUUUAUCGUCUCGUUUUUUGAUAGCGGCUACGGUAGAAACAAUCUGGACAGGCAUCAUCAUCGUACAGAGGCCAUGUAAUCAAAGUAUGAAGUGUUGCAGAAAAAAUUCACGGGGUGUUGACGACGACAUGUGGUAAGAUGCGCGACUACAAAGCAAGACCCUGAUGAGGGUGGCUGGGUUCGAUUCCCGGUGCCGGUCUAGGUAAUUUUUGUCGGCUUGGAAAUUGUCUCGACUUCCCUGGGCAUAAAAGUAUCAUCGUGUUAGCCUUAUGAUAUACGAAUGCAGAAAUGGUAAUUUGGCUUAGAAAUCUGUGAAACUGCUUGAUGAACACUAAGUUGCGAGGCGGCAAUGUCCCAGUGGGAGAUGUAAUGCCAAUGAAGAGAGAAGUUGCCGAAACUACCUAAUAGACGGAAGCCUUAUGGUCAAAAUGGGUCUACAAAGUGAGAACUUGUUACCGAUGACUCGAUUGAAAGCUUCAAACCACGAUUGGAAAUCAAAGGAUACAGUCAAAUCAAAGACAUAGACUUCAUUGAGACCUACGUACCUGUUGUUAGAUACGCUACCGAUCGUUAUCUCCUGUCCCCAGCGGCUCAGGAAUUUGAAAGUGUUGCAAAUAAAUGUAGUUACAGCGUUCCUGCAGGGUGAUCUUGAUGAGGAGGGAAUAUAUACGGAGCAACCGGAUGGAUUUGUGGACCCAAAGGCACCGGCAGAUGUAUGGUCUCAAACAGUUCAGCAGAGUCUGGAUGCAGAGUUAAAAAGAAUUGGAUUGAAGCGGUCCUUGUAUGAUACCUGUGUUUACUACAAGACUGAAGGCACAAGAAUACUGAUAGUAGCGGUUUAUGUGGAAAACCUUCUUAUUUUUCCAAAUGGAACGUGCUGGGAAGAGAAUUUGAAGAAACAGUUAACCAAAAAAUUCAGAAUGAAGGAUUUGGGGUUGGCGAACAAAGUUUUCGGAAUUCGUGUAACAAAAGAAGAAGGCGUGUAACAAGAUAUCAAGAGCAGUAUAUCACUGCAACACUGAGGUCGUCCCAGCGGACCCGGGACAAAAAUUUACUGAGUCUAGAAGAAGAAGAGCGCAAGCAAAUGGAGAAGGUUCCAUUCCGAGAACUGGUUGGUGGCCUUCGGUAUUUGGCACAAGGAACUCGCUUCACGCUUUGCUGUGAAUGCAUAAUAAGAGAGUUAAUAAAUUCACGAAAAUGUAAAUUGUGUCAAAUCAGACAUCUUUCGGUUGGUCUUAUGUAGCGUACAGAAGCUCAAACAUGUUGGUCCAACGCUGACUCUGCCCAAAAGAAAAUGCUUCGGUUGCUGCUUUGUUUGACCGUGUGUGAAGCUGUUCGAGCAAUCGUUUGACAGUUAGCAGGUUGGUUUGAAAAAAUGAAAGCGGUUCGAUUUUUGUUUGAGUUGUCGGGGUGGAGUUAGGGUCGGCCAAACAUGAUUGAGCAUUUGUAGUGAAGUUGCACAAACCUCCAUAUAUUUUUUGAUGAUUAGUGUCCAAGUUGGCGCUUCGGUCGUUCGUGUGUGAUAUUAUUGGCCGAAUAUGCUUGACUUAACGAGGGAUGAAGUCAAUGUUGGUCAAACUCCUUGACCCCGCGUACGCUGCAUUAGCUUCACUACGCUUCACACAGUUGUCUGGAAAUCCCGUUUACAGUGAAAUGCUUGAUAUGAACGCUCGCUUAAGAACAACAGCGCUUACAAUGGAUUGAACAUAACGGAAUUCGACGUGAGGGAGAAACGUAACAAAACUCAAACCAACUACGUGCAAAUGAUAACAUCUGUGAUAAUGGAUAAAAACAAAUAAGAUUACCCUAUCGAAAAAAAGUAACGAUAAGAAGCGAAACACAAUUAAACAUAGCAACAAAAAGAAAGCAAACCCAAGAAGAAACUCAUCAACUCAAGCAAAACAAAACGAAACUCAACAUUUUUUCUACUUCAAAUAAAACAAGAACAGAGAAAAUAACAAUAAUAGACAGAAGGUGCAGAUUUGUACUACCAUACCGGGUGGGUAACACGGAAAACUAGAAAAUAUUCCAUCGUCGAAAACUAGUGAGAGUUAUAAGUAAGAACAAACAAACAACCAAUUACCAAAAAGUGGACUGCUCUAGUAAUGUAAUGAUAAAACAACAAACGAAAACGUUCAGAAGAACAUCAGCAAAUAAGAAACACUUUAUAACAUCUCAUUGUUCGCAACAGAGAAGGAAACAGAUAGAAAGAGAGAGAUAUUAAAAUUACGAUGAUGAUAUACGGAUGAGGUAAAAAAGAUCUGUUUUCUGUACCAACCAGUGCUGUAAUAUUGAUUUUGCUCAAGAGUAUUAAUUUGCCGAUAAUUACAACAAAGUCAAGCGUUACUAGUAAUAAAUAAAUUCAAUGUUGAUUAAAAUAAAUAUUAUGACACUGGUACCAACAACAAAAUGAAUUUAGUUAAUUUAAAUUUCUACGUUUUUGAACUGGAUGUAAAUACAAUGCAAAAUCAACCAAAAAUAUCAAGUGCAACUGCUGAAAAGACAGCGAUUCUACUAGCCGAAGAUUUUUGUGAAGCCUGCGCCGGAUAGAGAAGGGCUUUCAAUAUUUUAUCAGUAAAUCCAUCUUUUCGUGGAAAGCACCUUUUCCCCAAACACAUACACAACAAUGUAUUGUAAUGCUGAAAGCAAACCAAUCAAAGUAAAACAAAACAAAAAAAAAAAUCUCGUUGCAAUUACGUAUAAACAUAAUCGAAUACUAAGCUACCCCAAAACAAUGAAAAAAUAUAGAGAAGAAAUCUUGAAAAUGCACCUUGAUAGGCAUACAUAUGUAGAAUUCGAUGAAUAAAUCUUUGCUAUAAUCAGGCAACCACGAAAGCAUCAUACCUACCCUA